GGCAUCGCCUCACGCCCCCCCUCAGCGGCGGCCGGGGCCGGAGCGGGGGCUGGGCCGGGGGCGGGCUGGGUCGCGGCUGCCUCAGCGCAUCGGAAUGUCGGCGCGACCCCCGCGCGGCAGCAGCCCACGAGUGCAAGGAGCUCGUCACGCUGUUUUCUAAGGGAAGAACAAAUCUGAACACUGGAAAGGCAGAUUUACUGCUAUAUGUUGUAUUCUGAUACUUCAGGAAACACUUUGCACCUCCUUGUCAUAACUGCUGUGUAAGGGUGACACAACUGCUGAAGAAGUGUGUCAAACAGCCAGUGAAAUUAACCACAGAAAGUCUAUGGAAGUUAUGUAUUUUCAAAGACUUUACAUUGUUUCUCUUAAUAAAUCAUGCCAGACACAGUGUGAUUGUAUUUAGUCACUCACCACUGCCUGAAAUUACACCUACUAUUCAAUUUCGUUCAUGCAGUGGCCUACAGGUUCUGAUUACCAGAAUAACAAGAGAAAAUGCCUACCACGGCAAAACACCUCAAUCUUUUUAGCAGCAUAACAUCAAAAUCAGUUACUGCUCAGGAGAGGAGACAUAGCUAAUCUGAAUUAAAUCAGCCAAUUAACUUGUAAUAUUAAUAAUUCUGUACUGUAAUACAGUAGGAUACGAUCUGGGUCAUUCAAAAAAUUGCAGCCAUCCCCUUGACUCCAGUGUGGCCCAGAUUCCAUUCACUGCAUAGCAAUGCUGUAACACAGUAGUUUGCAAAAAGUAAAACUGGACUAGUCGAUCCUUUCCAAUUCAUGUUCUGUAGAAUCUAUGUGUUUGUUUUUUUUUUUUCAUGUAUUAUUUCAGUGUACUGAAUUUCAACCCUGAGUACAGUUCGUUACUAAUAUGCUAGUGUACUUUACAUUUUUUAGUAUCAGAGGCACAGUAACUACUUUAUAACUGAUCGUGCAAUGUAUUUUCAACACUACAACAGUGACAAUGAAUUAUCCUCUAAACACACAGGCAACAGGAACCUUUCCGUGAAAGCUUUUUCCAGUUUCUCUCUGCUUUUCCAGUUGUUUUAAAAGGGCAGGAAAGUUAGUAUCACAUUAUUCCAGUGGAAAAAUAUAUAUAUAAAUUUUCCUUCACAAUGUGUUCGCACUUUCUCUCAGCUUGCAAUACUCCACCAAUAAAAGGUAUACUGUACUGAAAAGAAAAUGAUACAUUUUACAGAAUGAAAAUUUGGAGAAGUCACCAUACCCUUGACUCAGGAUGCUUUGAUCAUAAUCAAAAGGAUUAGGCAUCUGUGUAACUCCAAACAUACACCAGUGGAACAACUUAGCAUGCCAGUUAAAAACUACUUAGUUUUUAAUGGGAUUUCUUCCUUUGAAUCCAAGUUAGAAGUUAUACGCAAAUCAUGAGAAAGAUGAGUCUGUAGUCACUGCACACCUGUGACUGAGGCAAGCCAUCUUCUUUCCAUUCCAGCUGAAGUAUGUAGUCCUCUAAGGUGAUGCAAGAAGAUUUCCUUAGGAAGACCCAGCUUUGCAGGAGUGAAUUUUGAGCUGUGUGACCUCAGCACUACACAGAUGAAGAAACUAUUUUUUGGUGCACCAGAAUGGACUUGUGGAGCAUGGUUUCUUUUUAAAUUUCUUGACCAAGCAUAAAGUGCUUUAAGAAUGCUUCAGUUUUCCUUUUUCUCUCACUGUACAUAACUUCCCCAGCUUUUCAUGAGAAGUAGCUGUCACUCAUCACACUUCUCUAUCUGGCCUGACAAUGCAGAAAGACAACACUUCCGUUUUACCGUGCUGCUAGAUCCACCAGCAACAAAAAGCAAACACAUAUGCUCAAGGUGGAGAUUCAGAUAUAAUGUUUUAUUGAUCUAGGGUUCUACAGAAUAUUAAUAACUAGAGAAAAAUACAGGACUUCCAGAAAAUAUUGGUAUGUCUUUUAGCUCUUAACAAGUAACCCAUCAUGUUUUUGGAGUCAGAGUUAAAAAAAAUUAAUUCAACUUCAAGUGAUGCAUAAAUAUUAAAUUCUACACAUCCCUGCAAGAUGGUAAGUACUAUUUGCAUUACACAGACGGGGAAACCAAAGCUGUGCAAGCUUACUCAGGCAAUUUUUGCAACAUCCAGAAGGAAAAGCAGCUACAGUGCUAGGAUCAGUGCUCAAGAAUACCUGGCUGUUGGUUAUUUUUUUUAUUGUGUGUGCACAUUCUGAACUCAACUUCACUUGCCUAAGACCUAAUGUAUAAUGGGGUAUUUUGUCUUUAAUCAUGGUAUUCUGUAACAAUAUUUUCAAACAAUUUAUUUAACAAAUUACAUAAAACAUGUAAAAUAUGCUUUUAAUUUAAAAAAAAAAAAAAAAAAAAAAAAAAAAA